GAUCUAAGGUAGCGAAAUUCCUUGUCGGGUAAGUUCCGACCUGCACGAAUGGCGUAACGAUGGCCACACUGUCUCCUCCCGAGACUCAGCGAAGUUGAAAUGUUUGUGAUGAUGCAAUCUCCCCGCAGCUAGACGGAAAGACCCCAUGAACCUUUACUGUAGCUUUGCAUUGGAUUGCGAACCGAUUUGUGUAGGAUAGGUGGGAGGCUUUGAAGCCAGGACGCUAGUCUUGGUGGAGCCAACCUUGAAAUACCACCCUGAUUUGUUCGCGGUUCUAACCUUGGCCCGUUAUCCGGGUUGGGGACAGUGCAUGGUAGGCAGUUUGACUGGGGCGGUCUCCUCCCAAAGCGUAACGGAGGAGUACGAAGGUACGCUAGGUACGGUCGGAAAUCGUGCUGAUAGUGCAAUGGCAUAAGCGUGCUUAACUGCGAGACCGACAAGUCGAGCAGGUGCGAAAGCAGGUCAUAGUGAUCCGGUGGUUCUGAAUGGAAGGGCCAUCGCUCAACGGAUAAAAGGUACUCUGGGGAUAACAGGCUGAUACCGCCCAAGAGUUCAUAUCGACGGCGGUGUUUGGCACCUCGAUGUCGGCUCAUCUCAUCCUGGGGCUGUAGCCGGUCCCAAGGGUAUGGCUGUUCGCCAUUUAAAGAGGUACGUGAGCUGGGUUUAAAACGUCGUGAGACAGUUUGGUCCCUAUCUGCCGUGGGCGUUGGAUAUUUGAAGGGGGCUGCUCCUAGUACGAGAGGACCGGAGUGGACGAACCUCUGGUGUACCGGUUGUCACGCCAGUGGCAUCGCCGGGUAGCUAUGUUCGGAAGAGAUAACCGCUGAAAGCAUCUAAGCGGGAAACUCGCCUUAAGAUGAGAUAUCCCUGGGGACUAGAUCCCCUUGAAGGGUCGUUCGAGACCAGGACGUUGAUAGGUCAGGUGUGUAAGCGCAGUAAUGCGUUGAGCUAACCAGUACUAAUGAU
rnacentral:rRNA from 1 species